UUGCAAGUGUGUGUGCGUGGAUUAUGUGAGGCAUUGAUAUAAUCUUAUUGUCAGUUAACCCAGGACACAGUAUGAUGUGUUUCUUCUCUGAUUGACACAUGGAAGCAGCACUGACAUGCUCCUUUGCGAGGAAGUUUUUUUUUUGGGGGGUGGGGGUCAAUCAGAAAAAAAGCGUGCAACCUCACUGCUGUACCUGAGCUUUACCAUCCGUUUCCCACUGUCAGUGAUGUUCAGUUGCUAAGCAAUCAAACUAAUUGUACCUACUGGCAUCAUCCGCGAGCCUUAUGAAACUUUCAAAACAUGAGAAGGUGCACGAUGCUGCUGUCAGGGUUUGUGUGCCUCUCCUUUUCUUACACAGUUUCAGAAAGCUCCAAGAAGGAAGGCAGGGGAAAAAAAGAGCGUUUUGUUUCCCCCACAUGCCAUGUGACAAACCUUAAGGCUCUUUAAGUUUGUGAUGCUUGAAUGAAUUAUUAAUGAGGGAGCAUUGCAGAGCAGGAGUAAACCACCAGCUUCCUCUUCUUUUCCUUCUUCCUCCUCCUCCUGUACACUGUAUCUUCUCUGCUGUCUUUCCAAUAUUAGAACAGGCUUGUCUGAGACGAAGACGAGACAAAAGAGAGUGACAAGACGAGUCGCAACACCAGGCGAAAGGGAGGCAGAAUCAGUUGGGUGCGAGCUCUGAUACGUCUGCGUGAGUGUGAGAACAGAAAGACAAGAGACAGAAACAGACCUCCUGGAACAGUGGGAUGGAGGGAACUAUAAUUAUGUGAGUAAUUAUACAUGAAAUCACGGACUUGGAGGGAGAGGGAGAAAGAGCACUGGAGGGAAAGAGUCUUGCAGUGAGUCUCAUCCAUGUAAUUACAGGAUAAGCCUAAAAUGAAAGAGAUGGAGAACCUUACAUAUGCAGAAACAUCCACCUACUUUUAAGCUACACUCUGACCGCCUAACUGUAACGUUAACUUUUAUCGUCUUCAUCUUCACCAUAUUUUUUUUUUCAUGGUGGUGCGCUCUGCUGAAUACCUCGUGUGACUUAUACCCAGUGUCACAGUUUUCAUUGAUUAAAGAGCUCACACCCUCCCCGAGCUCUCGACCCAUAUAAUGAGCACAAUGUAUCUGAGGGGGGUGGGAGGUUCGAAGGCGGUAAAAACCAGAACUUCCCUUAUAUUUCACCAUAAUGAGAACUUCAUGACUGGAUGUGGCAGAAAGAAACAGACAGUUCUGUUGCUGGAGGUGACUGGUUUUUGUGCUUUUGUCUGUACAAAGAAAAUUUUCCAAAAUGCACAAAGUAUUUUGGCUCUGUCUGGUUUUUCUUUAAAAAAAUGUUUGGGUCAUAGAGAUUAGUGCUCAGUCAGAAGCAGGACGGAAAAGUUAGUGCUUCGCAAGCCGUGUCAAGUUGAGUGUCGUUGUACUUCUUAAUUGUUUAUUUAGUAAUGAGCUGAUUGUUUUGGCUGUCUUCAGAGAGUGGCAGUCUUGAUAUAGGCUUAUUACAAAUACAAACUUUAAGAACUAAUCUUUAAAUAUGGGUAAAAAAACACACAUUUGUUUUCAACUUCUAAAAAACAAGUACUUCAAAUGUAACCAGUGUAACUCUAGCCACUUCAAACUUGGACACUUUUUCCAUUUCACGUUUGGUGGAUAAUCCAUUUUCUACCAAUUAACACAGUUCAAGUCAGAGGGGACGCAGGCUGGGUAAUUAAACCCCCCUCCCAAACUACAUCCUCCAACUCCUGGUGUUUCCAGUGUACCCCGAGGCAUUCACUGACCAUGUGGGAGACAUAAUCCCUUUUUGAGUGUCCUUUGUGUUCGUUUUGGCACCACACCAUUGGACAUGUGCAGGAAAAACUUCCAAAGUAAGGCUUUAAGAAACAGAGUUGGAUCCCUUUAAGGUUUGUGAUUUCUUCCCCACAAAAUCAAAAGUCAUUGUAAGGGUUAGUUUAGACCAGAAAGAAAGCCAAACUGUGCAGUUUACAUCAGUCCCUGCACAGAGAUGAUGUUGAACUGCUGUCCUGAUUCAGAGUCUAAAGGACACUCCCUAACUGCCAUCAACCAAAGACACCAGUAAAGAAGUUCCACGCCAAAAUGAAGAAGCAGUUCAUUGUUUCUAGUGGACAUGAAGUAAAAAAAGUACAAUAAAGUAAGAAUGUGGUGUGUGGAAGUCUUCAACCUCCGAGACCAAAGGUCAUUACACACUGGGGCGAAUUUGCAAAGCAAAUAAUUAGCUUUUUUUAAAAACCUCAUUAAGUCAAUACAAGCUUCCAUAGGCUAUGAAUUUCCGCAGGGAGAAAAAUCAUCAGUAAUUUCUCCGCCCCAUAGCAAAUUUUGCGAACAUUCGCAGUCGAACUGCUAUAUAAAUCUAUGGCCUAAUAUAAAUCUUAAUUCAGACGUGGCAAGCUGUUGCUCUGGAUCAAUCAGCUCUCUGUAAUUUGUCCUCUCCUUCUGCAAACGUGGAGUCAGCUGAUGGAGCAGUUCUUGAAAUUGUCUGAGCGACAUUCUGAAGUAUUGUCAAAAUUUCUCAGGAUACAAUUUGAGCUCCUGGAUUGUUGUGUCGAACUCCCCAUCUCUUGUCGCAAGGUGAGUUUUGGAUAUACCCAGACACUUCCAUUCUUCUUUUUCUUAUUUAAUAGGCUUACAACCGUGACCAGGUCAUCAUCCCUUGAGGAUGUUGUUGCCAUUGUUUCUCCUUCUUCUCUCUCCCCCUCUGUUCUCCCAUGGCAUAUUUUUAUGUGAAUAUGCAUAUUUCAUUUGCGUUGCGACAGGUGUGUGUAGGAAAAGGAGUCAGCCAAAUAUUUCGCAUUUUUUUGUGGUUUAGCUAAUUUGCUGGUGUGUAAUGCCCUUAAGACUUGAACUGGGCAUUAGUUUGUAUUGAACUGGUCAGCAAAAACCCAUUGGCAUACCACUGGAACCAACACAUGCCAUUGGCUCAUUACUUGUGUGCAGUUGGCAACAGCACUCCUGAACUAUGGCAUGCCAUUGGUAAUUUGAGAUCCUGCUGGCACUUAAUUUUUAGAUGCAAACAUAAAAGCUAUCCUCCAGACCAGAAAUGAAUUGAAAAGGUGUGCUCUAGAAAUUCCUUCUGAUUAUACAAGCCAAACAAAUAUUUUAAGUUAGCUAUGUUAGACUUCAUAAUCUUACGACGGAGUAUUGGGGCCACAUUAAGAAAAAAGACUUAGAGAUUAAAGUUGUUAAUUCACGAGAAUAAAGUUGUAAUAUAGUCAUUACUUACAUUUAUUACAACUUUAGUCUCAAGUAAUGACUUUAUUAUGGCUUUUUUCUUGUAAGUAAUGAUUUUAUUACUACUUUAUUUUUCUUAACGUGGCCCUUAUAAUCUGUCAUAAGUGUCAUCAGUGAGGUGGAAUAAAUCAAAUUCAAAUGAAUAAAUCCAGGGGUCAAUGUUUGUUAUUUUCAUAGGCAGAACAACUAUUUUAUGGCAUCUAAAAGGAAACAAGACCAACAGUUGGUGGAUUGACAGGAUUUUUAUGCCAUUAUUAAAAUUUUUAUGUUUUAUUUUUAUUCAACCUUUAUUUAACCAGAUAAGAUCAGAUAUCUCAUUCACCAGGGCAACCUGGCCAAGAGGUCAGCAGCACACGUAAUAAAUACAAAUUAGAGAAAAGGUUACAAACAAUAAAUCUGUUUAAAAAUUUAACAAUUUAACAGUAAAGGUGCAACAGUUUUGAGGACAGUAACUAUAAAAACAGAUGCAUUGGUCAUUUUCGCUGUUUAGUGAGUAAAAUGGGACGAAAAGAUUUAAAUGAAACAAGUUUGUAGAGUGUUCUAUUGGUGGGGGGCAGCAUGACAAAAAGCUCAUUUUCCCAAUAAAGUUAGGACUCUGGGCACAUUUAGAUGAUGAAUUGUAAAAAAAGCGUAAGGCAUAGGAGCUCCUUGAUUUCUGCAGCAGAGAGCAUUGGUGGGAAGAAAGUAAUCCAAGAAGGAUCACCCAAUGGGAAUACCUCUGGGAGCUCAAGGAGGGUCGCUCAACUUUGGCAUAGAGUUCACAGUGGUGAGUGAGGCGACCACAACCAGUAGCAAGGCGCAAUGCACUGUGAUAAACAGUGUCCAGAGACCGAAGACAUUUGGCUGAGGCACUUAUAUAUAAACCGUCAUCAUAAUCAAUUAAUGACAGAAAAAUUGGAGAGACUAGAUAUUUCCAAGCUCUGAAGGAAAAACAGGAUUCAUCCCUGUCAUAAAAACCAAGUUUCACCCUCAAUAAAUGGACCGAAUUGGCAAUGUGAGCCUGGAAGGAGAGCUCCUGGUCAAGAGAAAGCCAAGAUACUUGUAACCUGUGAACAGUUCUAUCUGUUUGCCAUUGGUCAUGGUUAUGGUCUUGACAGGCUCUGUUAUUCAAGAAUAAAAAUAACUCUAUUUAUCGCCGAAGGGAAAUUCAAUAAUUUCAUGCUAGUGUGAAAAUAAAAUGAUUUUAGUUUGCAUUUAAAACCAAUUUCAGAGGUUGCAGACAAUUCUAAAUUGUAUCAAAAGCUGUCUGUAAAAUUUCUAAAGCCAGGGAAAGUGAGAGAGAUCAGCAAAAAAAGACUGUGACAUUGGAAUGAAAAAAGGCAUUUGAGAAAUUAUCACAUAGAUUAUUUAUGCAAAUAUUUAAUGAAAAUGGGUCCCAAGACUCAACCUUGAGCUACUCCUUUAGGGAUGUCAAUUGGACACAUUGGGCCUGAUCUACUAAGAUCCCUAAUGAGGGGCACUAAAUUGUGUGUGCAAACCAGAAAAUUGCACAUGCUAUUACUGGGUGUGUUGCGGGUGAUCUACCAUCAUUGUGUGCGCAAUAGAUAACAGGUGUAAAAGUGGAGUGGACCGCCCUCUUUAAACGAGGGUUUUGCUUGUGCUUCCGGCUGUCACCAUUGAGAGUUUGUGAGAGUAAAAUGGUUGUAGCCAAAAAAUUUAGUUUGAAACCAUGGAGUUGCACAAAUCGUUUUGGGGAACUGUAUAAAAGGCGAGGCAAGUUUAUUUGCAUAGCACCACUCACACACAAGGCAACUCAAAGGGCUUUACAGAUGCAAGAAAAUAUAUUAGAAAUCAAAAAAGGGAUUAAAACAAUUUAAAAUCAAUAAGACAAACAGAUAGUUUUUUUCGUCUGUUCUGUGUUUGACCUAAAUAAAACCAUCAUUUACCAGAAAAACAAAAAAAAUAACAAGCUUUCAGACAAAGACCUCUUCAGCACUCAGUCUCCAAGAUUCGACAGGACCCCAAGACCUGCAGUGUUUUCUGUUAUUUACUGCGUCCCGAGUGCAUGGGAACUGGAUAUACUUGCCCAUCCUGUGUGACAUAGCAUUCAACACUUUGGACAGCACACCACAAAAAAGCUACUCUUGGAGACCCACUAAUUGCAAUGGUGCACUGGAAUGAUCCAGAGGCAGAAAAAUGCAGUGAUACAAAGAGUUCAAUUGGAGAUAUGGCAUGGAUCAUUUUGGUGCCUGACUCCAAAUCAGACCUUGGUCACCCAGCAGCUCAAAAAUGGCAUUACUAUCACUAUUACUCUACUAUUUUUAUUUCUUACUGUCCAAAUAUGUUGACACACGCACAUAAGACUCUCUCUCUCUCUCUUUCCAUUAUCUAUCAUUGCACUUUUGCCUCCUUCUCUCCACAAUGACUGUAGCGAUUUGUGUAUAUCGCUGUGCCAGUUUGCACAUGCCUUUCAAACGUACUAAACAUAGAUGUGAAACAGUGACCGCAAUCAGUUUCUGGGUUUGAUACAUCAUAUUGCAGGUGCUAAACGAUUCUAUUUGCAACUGCUCCUCACAGUAUUUUGCGCGUCCUGAUGAUCUACAUACAUUCUGCAUAUCCAUGAAGGCAAACACACUAAAUCAAUUGCACGUGCUGUUUUGCUCAUUUGACAGACGCAAUCCUCGGUACACCCGGUUAGUAGAUCAGCUUUGUGCACGCUAUUAAGUUUGCAUGUGCUUUUGAAAAUGCAAACUCUAAGUCCUACUGUCCUCUGUUACUUAGAUAAUCUGCAAACCAUGUGGAUGCCUGACUUGAGAUACCAAUCUUGAGAAGCGAAUCAAUUAAAAGGGUGAGAUUAACUAUAAUGGCCUAAACCACUGCAAGGGGUAUCAGCCAAGGGGGUGAAGAGACAGCAUUUUUAUUACAAUUAUUACCUACAAUAGCCACACAUUAUGGUAUAUUCAGUUUGUGUCAAGUUUCCUUUGACAGUCAAAAGUUCUCACAGGAACUUCAAAGAUACUGAUGUGGAACAAAUAUACGUGAAGCAAUAAUUCAACAGUUCAGUCAGUGAAACAGCAGCCUUGGCAGUCUACAUCAGAUCAUUGGCUCAUCAUUAGAUGAAAGUCUUUGAGCUUUUUAGAAACACGAGGAUGGAAUUACACACACACACACACAUGCGCGCGCAUGCACACACGUGCACGCACAAAGAAAAAAGAAGAAAAAAAAAAGCAAGAGUUCCACUUAAUUUUUCUGGACAUGACUGCUGAUGAAGAGACAUGUCUUAUUCACAUGUUGUAGGUAACUGGAGAGGGAAUUCAAAAUUCCAGGUCCAUUUCUGUGGUAAUUAUGGUAUAAAUUUAUGGCAGGUGUAACUACUUAUAGUGAGAUAUCUAACUUUCUUACCGAGGCCCUAUGGGUUGAUUUGUUAUCCAUCUGCUUCUUCAUCACUACAGUUCAUUCUUUAAUCCAUUUCUCUUGAUUACGCUUCCUGUAACAAACGUGUCUGCUGGAUUAGAAAUGUACACCCAUUUUACAAUAACAGAGAAAGGUGGAGAAAGCUGUCACAGUGAUUACUGGAUUUAGGAUUAAGGGUAUGUUUAACCCUUGUAGUUGUGAGAUACUCUACUCAGAAAAGGAAACAGAAAACAGAAGGUUCCUGUAGUGCCAUGUGUGGGUGAAAACAUGAAUCCAUAUGUGUGUAGGUGUUUAAUGUGUUGGCACCACCAAAUGAGCUACAUACUGUGUAUGUGGGCUCUCUGAAUGGCUUGUCUGAAAAGUGUGAAUAGAAAAUCAGGAAAACAUAUGCAUUGCGAAAAGUAAUUGCUGGAUUGCAGAAUAUUGUAACUACUCAGCUCACUGUAUUAAAUAGUUGAAAUAGUGAGAUAGCAGCAAAUUUAAAUUCAGUUUGAUUAGAAGUGGUUACAGGGUAAGAUAGAUAUAAUUCAGCUGAAGUGUCUUUUUAAGGGCUGAAAUAGGUGACUUGACACGAAUGAUUAAAUGGAUUUUCAGUUAAAAUAGGUCUAAUGUUAUCAGAUAGUCAUGCUGGGUUAACAGGUGACAUAAUUUCAUUCAAAUUAAUGGGUACACUCUGAGAUGAAAAUAAGGCAAAGUGAGAAAGGGUUACAACAUGGUGCUAAAACAGGUUAGCAAGAUAGUUCAAAUUAGUAUUAAACGUUCUUCAUAGUAUUUGUAUACAUAGAUGGAUAGGUAGUUUGAAUAGUUAUGUGUUUGCGCGCGAGGGUGUGUGGUGAAAAAUGGAUGGUUAAAAGAUUUUGGCUUGAAAUGUGCAAAGUCAUCAAAAGAUGCCAGAUUCACCAAAUUUUUAAUUAAUCCAGUAGAGUCCAGUUUGUACUCAGUAAAGAUGAACUAAUUAAAGGCAUGAAUGUUGUGUUGUUGUUUUUUUGCCUUCAACAAAAGCCCCACUGUACCCAUAUUGCACUAAAAGCAAUGGGCGAUAAAUAGUUCAUUUGCACUUUGUUUCACCGGAUAAUGCAGAGUGCCAGCUCCCUGUUGAGGCCCAGACAGCAAACACUACAGGACUCUACUAAACGCAUGCUGUUGCCUUGAAAAAUGAAUAACUCAGGGAGCUUUGGACACAUUUGGUUGUGGAAAACAAAAUGUUUUGAUUGGUGAAGUGCGGCAUUGUCUGAACCAGUAGAGAAAACCGUAGCUGAACUUGUGUCUGAGGAUUGUCCCUUCUCUGUUGCUUUGUAAUGAGUUAUGGAAGGGUGAUGGAGAGGUUUUCCCCUCUUGAAAGAACCUCCUAGAUGUCACCACAUGCAGUUCAAGACACCACAUGAAAGCUUCUCUGGGAGGACUGGAGCUGUUCUGAAUGUUUGCCCUCCUCCUUAUUAGCUGCUUGAUGUUCACAUAUUGCUGGGGUGCUUCAGUUAUUUUGUCAACCCCCUGAAUGUGUUCAUUUUGUUCUCUCUGCGUGUGUUUGGUCGUAGCGUCCUCACCUCUGCAGGCUCUUUCAUCAUUAUCUGCUAGAGAUCUUGCAAAAGUUUGCCUCCUCAGUCUGUCAUAGACCGGAUCAGCCAGCUUUGUGAUCCCACUGCACAAACCCACAUGUACACUCACAGGACUCCCCAGAAAAGACAAUCUGGCAGUACUCCUGACUAAUCUCUAUAUUUUUCAGGGUUUUACUCCCUGAGUCUGUAAUACACCAGAAAAGCCUCUCUGUUGAAUUAGAUUUGCUUACUCUUCCUCAACUAUCUUCACAAAACUCAGAUAAUUUCUGUGAUUUGUCUCAUGCUACUGUCAUUUUUUUCUGCCAAGAACAAAAUCCAGAGUGGGUCUUAUGGGAAAAGACUGUUUAUUUACGAUAUGUUUAUAAGAGACAAUAUUUUUUAGCUAUUAUUUUGGCAGGGUUUCUUUAUCUGCCAGCAACUGACUUUGUGUGUGUGUGUGUGUGUGUGUGUGUGUGUGUGUGUGUGUGCGUGUGUGUGUGUGUGUGUGUGUGUAUUCUUUACCCUCUCUGAUUUUCAGACAGUCUUACACUUAACCGCUGAGAGGGACUCAUCUGUUGACACAUGGUGGCAAAAGGAAACGACUUGAGGUCUUUUCAUUAAAACAAUUACAGUAUUUUUUACUUGCUAGGUUGCUUUAUUUUAAUGAAUCUAGGGUUAGGGAGAUGCAAACACAGAAAAUAUGUAAAAGACAUAAAAAACAUGUUAAAUAAAUGCAGAGAUUUCCCUCAGCUUUCUGCACAGACUCCUUUUCUUUAAGGAUGGAAGUAUUUUAUCAACAGUUUCAUAUCGACAGUGAUGCUAUUGGAUUGCUCUUUGCUUGUAUGACCACAGACUUACAAUUAGAUCCCUCAGAUAAUAUCAAAGCUUGCCGUCGCAUCAGAGUUGUUGUUAGAUAUCAAUUAUUACAGACAGAUCUAAAAUAGGACAGAUUGGAUUUCACACGUACACCACUUUUUUUGGUUCCUGUUUUUGGAACGAAGUAGAAGUCAAUCAAAGCAUUGUCAGUUCAAUUCUGUCUAAUUGUGUUUUUAACAUCUUUUGUCUAAGACAGGGCUGUCACGUUCAAAGCUUCAAUUUUAAAAAAAAAAACUCUGAUAUGCUUCUAAAAAAUAAAAAUAAACAACUUUUAAUACCUUUGAGAUGAUCACUCACAUCCUGCUCACAGAAGUAAACACUGUCAGGCUGUGACAUGUUGAGUGUAAACUGUGACUUCAGAAAGGGCUUCAACAUAAACUUAUUCACUGGAGUCUCAUCUGAGGAUGGAUGUAAAAGAGAAGGAAAGAAGUCAGAGGGGAAAACCAUUUCAACCAGUGUCUUCGCUUCAUGUGUUCCCCAUUGUAAAAACUGAGCAUCAUGUAAAAAGGGAGAUAACUUUUCAAUAAACAAUGAAUGGAAGGCUUUUAAGUGCACAAAGCAGCAACAUGUUUAUCAAGUCUCUGUACUUUCUAAGGGCAGAGUCAAGGUUGACUCAGAGUCUAAACAUCUUUUAGAACCACCUAUAGCCAGAACAGCCCAUGGAGCAAGGGCCUCUUUUCCCUGUGUCUUUUUUUUAAAGAGAUAUUUAUUUGCUUAAAUACAUGCUAAGUGUAAGCCCUUGUCUUACCCUUUAGCCCUCAGUUUUGCGUGUUCACGUAAAAGCGAAGCGGACACCAAGCGGAGGGGUGUCCCAAUUCUCCGUAUGGUUAAGGGGAAGGGCUAAGGGCAAGGGGUUCACAGAACCUUGAAACAAAGACAAACUGGGACCGGGUGACAAAUUAACAGCAAGUGGACUUUACAAUAAUAUACUGUAUUUCAUGAAUGAUAGACGGAAUAAUCAGACAGCUAAGCUACAUUUGGUACAUUAAUGACCUCUAACAUUGAAGCUGCAUCAGGAGAUUCUACGUAUGCUCUUGUAUGAAUAAAAUACUGUUGCGUUGUUUUCAAUUGCUAUUGCUAAUAACAGGCUAAACAUUAAAGAGUAGGCAUUGUUUUCGUUUAUCUGUGUUGUCGCAUCAGCCUACGACACAGUGAGCAAGUGGCAAGGCAUUAUGAUGUAGCAAGAAUCAAGUGGCAUUUACAUCCCUCCCCCUGUUUUGAGGGCCAAGGGAAAGGGGUAGACAAAGAGGUAAGACCAAGGGGAAGAGGUAAGAGUGACAAUUGGGAUUGGCCCUUACUUUGUUGGUAAAAAUGUAAACCUUUGUGUUUUAUAUGACCUAAACCUCAAUUGUUCAUGCUGUGGGACAUUAGCUCUACCUUAAUCAAGAACACAAUAAUAUUAUUAUUCAUAUUCAUAACAACAAAACUGGUCUUCAAUCCAACCAGAUAAAGUAACAACCUUAGUAUGAGUUUGAACUAAAAUAGCUGCUUGUUAUUUAACUUUAGCUAACUGCACGGCAAAAAUAAGAUUUCCAGACGUGUUUUUUUUUUUGUUUUUUUUUUAAAUAUUGCAUUAGUUCAACUUAAACAGAGAAAGAUGCUGCAGCUCCAGCUAAAAAAAGGAAGCAAAGAAGACACAGGUAAAUCCGGUCAGUAGGGACUUAACAAAAGCCUUCUGCACUUCAUGCUGUUGGGACUUUUCGAUGGCCAUGUAGGUAAGAAAAAACCCUCACGCAGAAAGCUGUUACAGAAAAUCAAAGAGGCCAUGCUUGCUUAAAUUUGAAAAAUAUCUGUAGGUUAUCUUUUCACAUUCUGCAAUUCAGUUAUUAUUAUUAUUAUAUUUAUUUUUUUACUCUUUAGGGAAAUUUAGAUGAUAAUGUAGUUUAAGUAAAACUAGAGUUCAAAACAGUUUCUUGCUUAUCCACUGCAGACACACUUAGUUUCAAAUAUAUACUUUAAGUCAGAUGUGACUAUCAAACAAGUUGGCGCAAUCUUCCUGGAGCACUUCCUCUUACAGUCUUUACAUGGGAUGGAAAUCAAGUAACAUUGAUUAAGCACAUCUAUCAAAGGUUUAUAAGUCUCCACCUCUUCCUCCUUACUGUCAGCCUGUGUCAGAUCUUAGUAUAAAGACCGUAUUAAUGUCAUGAGAUUUUCACAAACUUUACCCAUUCUCUAACUAGUAAGUGGACAUUAGGAUGGCUCCUGAUGGACCACACAACAGCUGGGCAGGUUCUUAAUUGGUCAGGGUGGUUUUUCCUCGCUGGUUAGAGGUUUAGUUUAGUUUAGUUUAGCUAGAGUUAAGUGAGUGUUACAAACAGUCAACUUAGUCUAAUUCUGCAUCAUACUUUAAUAAACUGCAUUUUUGUGAUUUGGAAAAAUAUUCUGAUGCUGUCUUUGCACAAGCGUAGCCCAGCAGUUAAACUGCAGACCCACUGAAUAAAGACAACAGUUCUUAUAACAGGUAGCCCAGGUUUGAUUUCAGCCUGCAACCCUGUACCAAAGUAGCUCGAGUUUCCAAAUCUAAUCACUUUUCUUUUCUAUAUCAGUUUUCAAGCCCCGAAAUAGACUUGGAAAAAACAGUUGUUUCUCACUUGAUUUUAGCUCUAACCUCCCUCACUGUAGCUUAAAGCUCAAGCAAAGUCCUUUCUGGAGCCCACCAAAACAGAAGCAGCAGUGCCAGGCCCCAUCGGGAGGCGGGGGGCUGCUGUGGCUGGACUCCCAGGCUGCCACUUCACAUCAUCAGACUGCAUCCCAGGGGAGGAGUCCCAAGUUUGACAGGCAGGCAUGCAGCUGAAACCACUUGAGAGGACAAGCUCAAGGUAAGUACUGGAGGAGAAGAGGAGGCUUAGCUUUCAUGCACUCGCCUAUAAUCAUUUUUAGUUCUUGCAGAUAGAGCACACAUGCACACACAAACACAUGGUGUGAGUGACGGGGACAAUCAGCUCUCACACAUACAUUGCCAAAAAACAAAGCUUAUGAGAGUGAAAAAACCUGCUGCAGAUGAUGUUGCUGCUGAGUACCAGUAGGUUGUAUAAAAGUUGACAAAAUCACAAAUAAUUUUUAAUUCACCAGCAAUAUGUUGUACUCUGAAGGGGAGAAAAAGGAGAGAGAAAAGAUAACAUGAGAGAGAGGGAGAAAGAGGAAGAGCAGGGGGAUGAGUGCUGAAAGCGUUUGGCUCCGUUCAAAUAGUUGCCAUGGUUUCUAGAUGUUUCCAUGGAAAUGCUAGCUGCCAAUAAAAUGAAUUUGAGGAGAAUCUUUGCGGCAGGUUGGCAGGAAGGUGAGAGCAUGGCGCAGGAGAUGGGGACAACAGAGUUGAGAAUGGGGGGUGGGGGCUGGGGGGGCUGGGUGGCUGGGGCUUCAUUCGCUUUCCUAAUGCAGCACUUAGUUGCAUGCAUGGAUAAAUGACGGGGGGUGGACAGGGUCAGGGGAGAAUUUUGGGUAAACAAGGGAGGAAAAACAUGCACAGAGGAUGGGUUGUCAUAGUAACCGUAGGCGCACAACAGAGUGCAGGAAAAUACAUAGCAGCUUGACUUGCAACGGCUUAACGUGUGUCACAAUUGUGUCUGUGUUUGCAGACAGAUUGAAUGACCUGGUGGUCAGAUAGCACACAGGUGUGUGACAGGUGGUUCUUUUCUUUUUUUUUCUGCAUAAAAACUCAAUCAGAAAAUCUUUCCAUUGACAGUUUUUUUCAUUUUAUUUCAGGGCCGGAGAAAAGAGCUUAAUGUGUAAUCAGAGGCACUGACAAUAAUGCAAAUGUGUUAAUACAUGUACACACACGUUUCAGAGCACCCUGUUUCAUACUGGAGCUGCUCUUCUAGAGCUUUAAAAAGGUUCUCCUACUCGCUCGGACAGUGAACAAGUGCUGCUCCUCUAACCGUCUGAUCCUCCUAACUCUACUCUCCUUCUUUUUAUCCUUCCCUUUUUUCAAACAUUUAUUUCAUUUUCUCCUUCUCAGGUUCCUUCACUACUUCUAGAUUGAGCAAAAUAAUGAAAAGCAUAUUUUGCUCUAUCCAGUUUUCGUCCUUCUCUCUCUUUCCUUUCACUCUGUCCUGCUUCCUUCUUUUUCUCUCUCUCUCUUUCUUGAUAUUUCCCCCAUACCUGUACUCCUUUUGCGUCUACCUUAUAUCCGUCUUUAUUCUCUCAAUUGAUUCUCUGUACAUUUUUUUAUUUCCAUCCUUUUUCUUCUUUAUGGGAGGAUGGAGGGGGGAACAAGUUUGUUUAUUUCUUCUUUAUAUCUUCCUUAUGUUCCCUCCCUCUCCUCUGUUCUCUCUCUCUCCCUUCUUAGUUUUUUCCACUCCCUUCAGUCCUUUCUUUUUCCUUCCUUCUUUCCUCCCUUUCUUCUCUUUAAACUGUUCUUUCGUCUUUCCUUCCCCUUUUCUGUCCUUUCCGACUUUAUUCCUUAUUUCGUUCAUACUGUCUGUUUUUCAAUAUUUCUUCUUUCUCUUCCUUCCUCCUUUUAUCCUUCUUCUAUUCUUUCCUUCCUUUUCUUCUUUUUCCCUCCUCCCCAUGACCUUUUUUCAUUCCUUCUCGUUUCCCUCCUGUUUUACACCCUUUCUUUCUCCUAAUUUACUUAAUUCUGACUGUCUUUUUCUGUCUUUAUUCUCCCUCCUUUUUUCCCCCAUCUCUCCCUCCUUUCUUUUUUAUUUACCCUUACUUUGCUCCUUUCACGUCCUGGUUUUCUUCUGUCUGUCUGCCUUUUCUCAUAUCUUCUUUCUUCAUUUCCUAGCUUCCUUCUGUUUUUCUUUCUUUUGUCAUUACUUUCUAUCUUUCUCCACAUCCUUACUUCCAACUGUCAAUCCUGUCCAUUUUGACAUCUCUCAUUCAUUCCAUCCUUGUUUCCUUCCUAUCAUUCCUUCUUUUUUUGCUUCCUCCUCCAUGUCUUAAUUGAAGUCCUUCCUUUCUUUAUCCCUCAAUUCAUACCUCCUGUAUUCCAACCUCUCAUCCUUACUUCCUUUCUUCCUUGCACAUUUGUCUCACUCUCUCUCUUUCUCUCUCUCUGAAGGACAGAGGUAUUCCCACAUUUCUUGGUUGCUAUGGUAACGCUGCAGCAAGAAAGAAAGAAAGAGAGGCCACAAGAGGAAAAGGGGGUUGGUGUUGGGGAUGGCUGGGUGGAGGGGUUGUUGGGUGGUGCAAAGGGUGGUGAGGAGGGGUUGAGGAAGUGUGAACAAAGCUAAUGCUACUUUACUGAUCAUGGAUUGCGCAUCUAUCCCUUUUUCCUCCUAUUCCAAAACUAGAACCCCCCCCACACACACACUUUUGUUCUUCGCUUUUUAUUUUGUCUCACUCUAUCCAUCCUUAAUACUUCUGUGCUCCGGUCGGCCUCUUUUUCCCUGUGGUUUUAAAACUCAAUCUUCUUGCAGUGCUGUCAUUGUUAUCAUUGUUAUUAUUAUUGGGUCAUUUAGCAGGCAACGUUGGUAUCCACAGCAACCCUGAGAAGUGGCACCAGCUCCUUGGUGAAUACCAAUAUAGACAAGCAUCCAUCAAUAUCCCAGUGACUCAUUAUCAGUCUAAUGGUGAGAUCGUUGCUGUCACACCAGACUAUAAAUAAUGCCGUCUCAUUAGGCACCACUGCUUCCUAUGUAAACAGGUCAUGUUCCAGGCAGGCAAAGGGUGUGUGGACCCUGCAUGGUUAGCCAAGUGGGGAGUUUUCUGCUUGCAUUUAGCAGCAGGGGGUUGAAAAUUGUACUACUAGAUGCUGGUGAGUUUGCACGAGCUGUGGCAGAGGCAGCUGCAUCAGUGUCUGACUCAGGGGGCUGACUCAAUAAAAGCAUGUAGUGGAGUAAAUAAGGCUCACACACUCCCUCACAUAGGUGUGCACAGCUGCAGGCUCUGCCCCCUGUCUACUGUACACACACACACACACACACACAAACUCGGGCAAUCCUGCAGGACUGCAGUGGCUGCUGCUACUCCCUAUCAGUCCUUCGCUGGAGCUAAUCGAUAAUAUCAAGCUGCUGAUGAGACCAAGAAAGUAAGGAGAGAGGGAGUAAUUCACCUCCACCGUUGUCUCUGUGCCUCAAGUCAUUACUGACACUACUCCCAUCAUUUAGCGCUGCAGCAUGAAGAUGGAGGGGAGCAGUCGCAGGGGUGACCAUGUGCACAAGCAAAGGUUGCACAGGUUAAAAAACAUUUUCACAAAAGCGUGUCAAGCCAGUCAAUUUACCUAGGAGAAGACAUGCACGCCAACUUCAUGAAACCAGGAGACAGAAUGAAGAGGAAGUGCAAGUUUAGGGGUGAGGCAGAGUCUGGUGCAUGUCAAUCAUUGCUAAUGUGUAAGAAACCUGAGAGGACUCAUAAUGUUGGAGGAUUACACAACAAGUCCCUGCAUAUUGAUUGCCUGUUUGCUGUAUGAUAAUGUAUUCAUCAUAGCACUGUGUUUGUUUGUGCAGAUUGUCUCUUGGUUGUUCUGCUCUGGUCUGGAAUGCAGAGAUGGAUAUUCCAGAUAUCAGGCCCUAAUCUCUAGACUCAAACGCUAUACUUCAAAUCAGGAUUGAAGCAGCUCAGUGGAAAAAGCUGGACAUAUGCCUAUUGCAGAGGUGUGGACUAGAGCAUAUGAUACUGCCGUAUCACAAGUUAACACUGGCACCCCCUUAAAGAGCUGUUUUUUUUUUACACGCACACACCUUGGCUGGUGGACUGGUGCUACGUUGGUGUCUUCACUCCUGUCUGUGAGAACAUAUGCUUUCUCUCAGGAAAAAAAAGACAUCUCUUCAUGGAUAGUUGUGCGUGAAAUAGUGUCCCUGGGUGAAUCCUUGUUAUAAAUUACAUCUUGUGUUGUUUGCUGGAUUUUUUCGACCUUCUCCCGGGAUGACAUAUUUUUCUGCUCUGUCUAACUGCAAAACUGCCGGUGCCGUACCUGCCCUUGUAUGUGAGCCUCAAGUGCCUCGAGUGUGCAGGUUUUUCAUUCUGAUGGUGGGCUUAACGGCUAAAUAAGUUAUACCCUGAGUCUUGUCGAAGUAAACGUCCUUUUGUUCAGGAUGACCAACAUGCAAAGGUUCCCUGACUCCCACAAACUCCUCCAGCUAAAUUAAUAUCUGACAGCUAAAAAAAAUUUCCCCCAUGGGGGAUCAAUAAAGGAAUAUUCUAUUCUAUAUUCUAAGAGUCGCACAAAUCUCAGAAAGUAGUUUUUACAAUCACAACAAACAUUGGAGUUUUUAACAUGAACAUACCCUCUAUAGCUUUACACAGUUCCAAAUAUAGUGAGUAAAAUCAAGUCUUUUUGUUCAAUAAUGAGUUGCAAAAUGUCCUUUUCGAUGAGUUCAUUUCUCAACUAAACAGAAAAGCAUGUUAUCAUUAUUAUUUUUUAUCAAGUUUAAUCUUUUUUUUUCACCUGAUUUAUCAGAGUUUUUCAAGAGUGUGGGUGGUAAAACAGGAAAACAUUUACAGCUACAUUGAGUGUACAUAGAAUUAAAAUGAUAAAGUAGGGCUGCUCAAUUAAUCAAUUUUACAUGUUAAUUGCAUUAUUUAAUGAUGACAAUGUUAGAAAUAUUAAAAUUGUCAAAUCAGUUUUUCUCUCUAUCAUGUCUCCACCUCCAGGUCACCAUAGGCUCCCCCUUCCUGCGGGAGUGCUCCCCAGUUCCCACACACACCAGUGUAAAGAAACAUGACGUUUGCAAAAGAGGGUGAUAAUUUCGUGGCGAAGAACAAACCACUCCCCAAUGCAAAGUCUGUCUGAAGGCGGUGUUUCAUCCACAUGGAAACGGUGUUUUGAGUGACUGUAAACGGUACUUUUUGAAAACAGGUCAGAGAGUGCAUGAAUCUGUAAACGACUACCAUUUCAUCUCCGUGUGGUUGUCUAUCUGAACCCAUCUGGAAACGAUUAUGUGACACACAGCGUAGUUCUUUUAUGGUGCCUGUGCUUGUCAACCUUUAUAAACAACCUUAAAACAACAACCUUUAUAUGCAUGAUCAAUAUCUUUACUCUUCUUCUGCCUUUUUUGCAUUUCCUGUGCAGGGUUACAGCGCCACUUACUGGCUUGCGCUACAUCAUUUUCAGUGGUUUUAUAUUGAGAGAUGAUAGAAAAAACUUUUUAUUCAAGUGAAGUUUGGUGAAGUUGUGACUGAAUAAAAAAAAUGAAAUCGAAAUCUAAAAUAGAGUUUUCAGAGAAAAAACAUCAGGUUUUUAUUUUUGGCCAAAAUCGGGCAGCCCCGUGAUAAAGAUGAAGUUACAUUUCUUGUCUCCACUGUUGUAGUUUUAAGCUUCCGAAAUAGAGGACACAGCGGACCUCUGCAUUGCAAACACGUUUGGAAGUUGGCCCUAUGUUGAUAUCAGAUGUUUCAAGGAAUUAAGUUACAAAAGCGUCUCCUUGUUUCCUUUUAUCAAGUUUUAUCUAAAAAAUUUUUUUUAAAAAGACAUUCCAUGUUAGAUAAUAAAAAUACAAACAGAAGUCAACUUCUGACCUUGUGUGCACCAACAUGUUUAACUGCACACGUGCAGAGCUACGUGAUUGAAAUGGCAACAUUUAUAAUUAACUUUGCAAUUCAUGAAAUAAAACUGUCUGUACAAACUAUUUAGGGUUUUGGAAAAUUCGUGUUGGUGAGAUGAUGGACAUCAUAUACAAAAAAAAAAAUACAAGAAAACGGCUGAGAUGAAAGGUAAAUAUCAACCUGGGCAACUUUGGCUGUGUCUGCCAGGUACUCUUGGUGUCUGAUGGUGCUACAGAGCUAAAGAUGAAGGCCACCAAACCAAAGUCAUGUAACUGGAACCCAUAAAUUGGCAAUAGGCAUAGUUGGGCUGCUGUUAAGCCUCUCUGUCCCAAGAUCCUUGCACAUUGAGCAAACAGUCAGCAGUUGGCAGGACUAAGCAGCAAGUUACAGGUUUUCAGCUGAGUUUAUGAAUGAUCAUUUAAAUUUAAAUAUCUUUAUUAAUUAUAUUGUCAGAGUAGACAAGACCUUGAAGCCCAUAAAGCCAAACUAAAGAAAGUUAAGUAAGUUUGAUUUUAAACAUGAGCUCCUUCAUUCUGUGUCCAUACUGCUGUAGUCAGCAGGGGUCCGUUUCACGUAGGUGGUUCAACAAACUCUGAGUUAAAUCCUUAACUCUGAGUUGAUCUACUCUGAGUUAGGAAACUCUGAGUUUCCGGUUUCACAACGCCUGAUUUGAGACGGUUUUAACAACUCCGAGUAGUUUGACCUGGAGUUAAGCACGUGCACGCCAGACAUAAACAGCCAGCAUCUGUGGAGCGCAGAUUCAAUGAUCAACCAAUGGAAACAGGGAGAAGGAGGGGGCAGCAGCAAGCCAACAGCGAAUUACAGCACGUUUUUAAAAGAAAGUGCAAUACAGCAGCAGCUGCAAAGGAGAGGGAGAGGGCAUGGGAGGAAGUCGCUGCUCGCGUCAAUGCGUAACUUUAAAUCUAGUCUCGUGCAAUCACAAUGACAGACUGUUGCAGGGAAACUGCUUGAAUCAUUUUGAUCAUGUUUUACAUUGUCAAGUAAGUAUUAAGUGGCAGUUUGAUCCCUUAGAAAAUACUCUUUUCACACUCAAAAAUGAAUUUUACUCUCUUAUGAUGUUCCGUUAAAUGAUUAGGAAUAUUAAACUAACUCUCAGUAUGUAUAUGUACAUAUAUUAAACUAACACACACUACACUCAAUAUUAGACUUUCACUCAGCAAAGAGAAAGAGGGCAGAUGCCAGAAAAACGGGUGAUGGCCCAGCAGCCCCACCUUUAACGGAGGCAGAGGAGCUGCCCCCCCCCCCCCCUUCGACGAUCGCAACCCCCACCCCGUAGCAGCGAUCGUCGGACUGGUGUGCGUGUGUGUCUGUGGGGGGGGAUUUGCGAUCGGACCGGCCGCGAUCGUCGAACGGGGGUGGGGGGGCAGCUCCUCUGCCUCCGUUAAAGGUGGGGCUGCUGGACCACCACCCGUUUUUGUGUUAGUUUAAUAUUCCUAAUCAUUUAACGGAACAUAAUAAGAGAGUAAAAUUCAGUUUUGAGUGUGAAAAGAGCAUUUUUUAAGGGAUCAAACUGCCACUUAAUACUUACUUGACAAUGUAAAACAUGAUCAAAAUGAGAAAAUGCCGAUGUCUCACCUGAAACUCUGGGUUUACUGAGUUAAACCUGCUCCCGAGCAGGUUAGGUUCACGGAGUCUGUUACUGUGGUAACUGACCGCGAGGUUGAGUUACCUCUCUUCGUGAAACAGGUUAGAGUUACCCCUCUCUCCCUGGUUUAACUAACCCUCCUUUGUGAAACGGAAAACUCAGAGUUUCCCUGAUUUCAGGGUUAACAAACUCGGAGUUUCCACUAAACCUGCUACGUGAAACGGACAGCAGGUCUGUUUGAUUUCAGGAAAAGAAGACCUCAGUGACUAAUUUGGCUUCCACACACAACACUAUGCAGAUCAUUUUCAGACUGUUCGAGAAAUAACAACCUGUCGCAUUUCGGCUUCUGGGGUGCUCUGUGUAUGCUGACAUAGCUUAAUAAAAAAACAAAAUAGCGGAUAUUAGACUGACAGAAAAUGUAUUAAUUCUGGGUCUUCUCCACAGAUGAUCCACAUUGUUGUGCAAGUGAAAAGAAAUGCCAGUCUCCUCCCACUGAUGACACCCUUAAAUUAACUUAAUCAAAUUUAAGGAUUCAUGAUCAUUACAAAUGAAGCCAAAUAUUUUUUUAAAGCCUCGCAGGCUUUUUAAUUUUCAGUGCCCGCUGCCAACCAUGUGUCCUUUAAUCUGUGAAACAUCUGAAAAGCAAAGAUUUUCACACCCCGGUGACAAUUUGUGCCACCUUGAAGCAUGUGUGCAUGUAACAGCGCAUGACACAAAAGCGAGCUGCACAUAUGUUACCGCGGCAUGCGUGGGUAUGCUGCCUUCAUACAGUAUGCAAGAUGUGUCAUAGGUUGUACGUGUCAUCCUGUCUUCUCUGUCUCUCUAUCUCUCUCUCUCUGAGUCGCAUUACCUCUCCCCUGCAACCUGCCUUCUAAUCAAUAACUCAUCUCUCCAUGUCGAUUCCCCUCUACCCCCACAGGAAAACAAAUGUCCUUCCACAGGACAAACAAAGAGAGGGGAGGAUGAUGAGGCGAUGGAGGGAGGUACAGAGGUAGGCAGAGAAUCGGGGAAAUACUGUAAAUCCAGCGAAAUAGGUAAAUAGCCUGUUGCAGUGGAAGGGACAGAGUAAAGAAACAGCAAGGUUGAGAGAGAGGAUUUGAAAGGGUGGCUAUUGGAUGGAUGAUUAGCCCCCGUCUCCAAGGUUACACUUUACAACUGUAUCACUGCGGAGCUGGAGGGGAGGGGGGUGGGGAGUAGGGAUGUUGAAGGGUGACAUGCACCGUUCAUCACACAGGGCUGAAUUAAAGAAGACAGAGGCAGGUUUUUUUCAGCUCUGACCUUCACAUAAAGAACUAGCGCCGGCCUUGACCUCCAGACAGAGCAGGGAAUAGUGCUGCUGCUGCCGCCACUGCAGCAGCAGCAGCAGCAGCAGCCAGCAACAACAACAGCCAUGCCGACAACGCAGGAGCACCAGAGCAGAAAAGCGCAGACAAUCGGCAGCACUGAGGAGAGUGACAUGCGACAGGCCCCAGAAGGGGAGAAACGGGGUGGAGGAAUCGUUUAGAUUCCAGCCAACUGAAAGAAUUGGCCUUUUCACGAGAACAGGAGGCAGAAAACGGGAACUUGUUUGUUACUUUAGGACCUCCCUCUCCUCCACCCUUUCCUCAAAUCCUCAACCCUGUCCUACUGUUUGUAUAUAACCCCUUGACGGGAACCUUCCCCAAACUUAACUAUUUUAACCUAAGCAAGCUGAGCAAGAAAUAGAGCCUUGUGAUUGAGUUGCAUGCUUUAGCAUCCCUGCAGUCGGUUCUAAUCCUAAGUGCGUACUUGCUGCUCUACCCUUGAGUCAUGUAGAAUCUAGAGUCGGUGAGGUGAAAAUGAGAAUUGUUAGGUGGUUUUGCAUAAUCUAUUCAGCGCGACCGUUGGCUGCCCCCUUGGUAGCAUGUAUGAGAGACGGAGGUGGUGUCGCAUCAGCAUUUUAAAGUUCCAACAUGAGUCCUGGAGAAAGUGCCUGUGCAUUUUCCACAAUCUGAUAACCUUCCAGCGUGUGUAGAAACUCAAGCAACUAUGCAGGGGAUAUGUCACCACUUUUUAAAGUAUGCUAAUAUGAAUCACACACUGCUCAUGUAAUUCAAACCUGUUUGCUUUAGCCUGGGUUGUGCACAGACAUCAUGCAAAGCAGGACAGUGUUGUUUGCAUUUUGUCUUUUUUUGCAGCUUCUCAUGUGCACACCCACACAAAGGCUGGAGGAGUAAUACAUAACGUGUAACUGGAUUACAAUAAUCUGAUUACAGAAUUUACUGAAUUUUUGGAGCAACAAAAGAUGAGCUAAAUUGCUAGAUUACCAGCUUUGGAUAAAACAGAAAAAAAAAAUUCUUCCUGGUUUACAUGUAAAAGCUAUUUGAAGGAAACCAGGACAGUUAAGACUUGGACAACAGUGUUUCUGAUUGAAUACUGUCCACAACAUUGUAAAACUGUAUGUCGAUUUGAGUCCACACAUUAUUUACUGGGAUGAGCAAUCAAGUCUUGAAUUUUCUACUGACCCAUGUACUGGAGUGAUUACAUUUUUCAUACAAGCAAAGUAAUGACUGUGUCGAUGCAGAGCUCCUUCUGAGUUCUUUUCAGUGAAUAUAAAUUUCACAGUAAGUGUCAAGUCCUCAUGGGAAAAUCCAAGUCAAGUCAUCACUCUCCACUAAGCAGUCAUUUGCAAGUGUCUGAAAAAGACCCAUUAAAAAUUCACAGGCCUUAUUUUUAGAUGUAUGUCUCUAGGAACUGCAAAGUCGGUCUAUUAGUCAGUCCACCACUUUUAAAACCCCAAAUCUCAACAAUCUCAACAGCUCGGAUGCCUGAUGGAUAAAUAUGAAUGUUUCUGAAGGAAAUCUUUUGGGGGAUGAAGGGAAAUGCCCUGGCUAUACUCAGACUUUUCCUUUUUAGGGUGCUUUUAAAAACUGUUAACAUUUCUUCUUGUCCAUUACACCGGCUUUGACAGAGGAUCAGCAAAGCGAAAUAAAAGCUGAUCUAUGUGCUGCUAUUAAUUCUGUUUCAUUUAUAAUGCACUGACUUACAGAAAAACUUUGAACUAGGUUUGUUCAUUUAUACGUUAUUGGGUUAUUUUACUCUCAGCUUAUUGUCUAUUGAUUAUCAGUGCUGGUGUAGGUACGAGAUGUGUUUGGGCUGCCAGAUCGGCUUGGGGCCUGGUGCCUAUAGAUGACCUCACGCUAUAUGAUUGUCUGAAGGUUGGUUCAUAUGACGUUGAAGAUGGUGGUUGGUCCAGACAUUACAGGAGUGGUUUUCACUGGAAUAGGUUUCAUGGCAUUGUAGUUUCGGGCGAAAACAUAGAUGAAUUUUACAAAGCAAUCUAUCGCUACUUAUCAAAGGGGGGCUUACGACAGCCGGACUACCGCCUCUUUUAGGUUGCCAACGGAAAUGACUGCAAGCAGCUGCUGGAAGAGAGUAGGUGAGUUGUGUUUCGUCUCUUUGCUAAAGCAGUUAGGCAAAGCUAAAAAGAUGUUUGGUGGCUAGUACUAUGGCUGGCCACCUACAUGUACUGCUGAUGAAGUUAGGUGCUGUUCUGAGCAUUAUUUGUGGCUAGAGAGUGGCAUUUUGGUUGAGGUUUGUGCGUGGCUCUUUAGACCGCUGUGUGUUGCUAUUGUGCGGUCGUUACUAAAAUUGGUAUAACUAGAGAAGCAAGCGGUGGGCUACAUUAAUCUCUCGAGGGGUUGUCUAACUCGGCGUUUUGGUGUGUUUGACCCUAAAUUUAUUUUACGCCGGAAUAUUCCUUUAAAUCACACAGUGAGACACACACACAUAGACACACAAACAAAGAGUUGAUAUCUGUUUCGUAUCGCUGCUCGUGCCCAGCUGUCAGCAGGUUUGUCUGCUGAUUUGUUCUGAGGGCACGCCACUGAAAUAACAUCUCACACUCUCAGAGUGCAAAGCCUUUGAGCUGAUUGACGGAUACUUAACUGCCAGAGCUUCAGUGUUUAAAUAGAUUAUCUAAGCAAAGGAGAAUCAAUGUAAACCCAUCCAAUGACACUAUCCAGCACCCCCCUACACAAACAUACACUCACACACCAUCGUUGAAACCAAGAGUCAGUUGCGUUCAGAAACCGACCUCUUGGCAAACCCAACCAGCACAAGCUAAGUAUUAACUGUCAGCUAAACAGCAGCCCACAUACAAGACACACGCACAACCAUUUGAAUACACACAAACACGCACAUGAUCAGUCUUGGGGCGCAGGUGGAGGUCAGCCACUCGGGUCAGGAUACAGAGCCUGCAGCUAGCUGGUCUGUAGUGUUGGUGUCAAAUCAGCUUUAGCACACUGACACAAUGCCUUCAAACACACACACACACACACACACACACACACACACACACUCACACACACACAAACACACACACACACUUCUGCAGCACACUAGAAAAGGAAAAAAAGAAACUGAUAUAAAGAAGAAGUGCAGGCUCUAUGCGAAAAAAGCGAGACAAGAGAGAACAUACACAUCUCCAAUUUACACCACACACACGCGCGCACACACACACUUUUAAGCAGAGAAAUAAACAUUGGAUUUCCGCUCUCAUUUAAUAUAGACCCAUGUUGAAAAAAUAAAGCAGCCCAAUCUGACUUUGAAUUUUGUGAAAAAAUGUUAUUUUUAUUUCAUAAAUUUCUCAGUAUGGCACAUGAACAGAGAUUGAAUGUUCUGAAAAGAUUUGGCACAGAACCUUGAAGCAGAACAAAUCCACCCUCCUCCAUCCACGCACACAUACACACACACUCUCUAUUUCACAUGUUCCUCCAGUGUUAAUACGUACAUCUGUGGUUAUAACAGGUUAAAACACAGUCUUUAGAAACAAUCACAAGAACAACCAUAGUCAAUAUUGCAGAAGAGAAGCCUAAGCGAAACAAAAAAGCAGAUGGAGGCCAUGUUUAAUUGAACAGAGGGAAGGAAGUAUCAGAAGCCUUGUUUUUUGUUAUUGUUGUUGGGUUGGUUUUUCCAUUUUCCUGAGAGGGGAUCAGCUUGAUGCAGGGACUAACAGGAGCGUGAGAGAUUGUCUGUGUGUGUGUGUGUGUUUGUGUGUGUGUGUGUGUGUAUGUGUGCUUGUGUUUGUGAGGAUCAUGGGGUUAAUACAGAAUCACAAGUUGACAUCUAGCUGCAGGGUAGUGAAAAAUGGCAGCAGGAAAAGGUGGGAGGGCUUAAACUGGAAGCGUGAGGUAGAUAUAGAGGAGCGGAGGAGGGAGAACGGGCGGGUUAAGGGGAUGAGGAGCACAAGAGGAGGAAAAGGAGGGGAUUUAAUGCAAGAGGUACUCCUGUGAGUUAGCGAGCGAGCGAGUGUACGAGUUUGUGUGUGAGUCAGAGAGAGUUAGAGAUGGAGAGGGAGGGAGAUUUGGGGAGAGGGAGAGGCUGUGGUGAAGGUUUUAGCUACAUUUCUGAAGGAGAGGGUGAGAAAAAGGCAGAGAAGCAGGAGAAGUCAGCCAUGCUCCUCUCUGUUCUGGGUUGGGGACAGAGAGGAGUCAUUCCCCCUCCGGCACCGGCUGACAUAUAAGCACCAUGGCGGCCUCCUUCCUCCUCCAUGUCUUUAUCUCUGCCGCACACAGAUACACAAAACAGAUACUGCGCGCACUCAAGUGCACACAAGUAUGCACGCAAGCCACUCGGACGUAUGCAUAAAUAUGCAUACUUAUGCCUCUCAUGCAGAUACUACACAGACACACAAGUGCACUGAGCCGGGGCCCCCGUGUGUGUCAAAUAUAUCACACACAUGCAGACACACUCACACACAGACAAAACCUACAAAGAUAUAGAGUGACAGGAUGCUUCUCAUUGUCAUCUUUCAUUCUUCCUGCCAUCAUCACAUCUCUUUUCAAUCUAUCUCUCCUGUCUUUCUCUCUAUUUCUGUCUCCCCUCGUCCUCCCCUCCUUGUCUCUCUCUUUCCUUCAGGCACAAAGGGGUGGGAGACCCUGAGGCGGCACAGAGGCUCCACUGCCGGAUGGACCUGGCAAACGCACAUCAACUAUGGCUGAAACACAAAGGAGGCCGCUGCAGUGUCUGCUGAAUGUCACGUUUAAAAGCAUUAGAGGGGGACUAUUAAAAACGUGAAUUUUGGUUUCAUACAGACUGGGAGCAGAAAUGGGAGCAGACAUGAAAUGAGGGUAUUAAGGGCCAGACUGUGUGAAUAAAUCAGCACCGAUGAGAUAAAAAAAGAGACAGUAUGCCUCACUUGGCUGACAUGAGGGGGUGGAGACAAACAGGGUAAAGAAAAAUCAAUAACUGCAGUAAAAUGUUGAUUUCAUAUUGAUGAGUUUACAACUGUUUUUUUUAAGAAAACUUGUUUCACUUUGAGGAUGCUGGAGGUCAGAUUUAAAGCUCGGCUCAGGAGGCUUAUAUGGGUCAGGCUGGAUCUGUGCUCUGGUUGUUGCUUUCUGAUCACAACUUCUGACCCUCAGGUGGGAGCAGAGUAAUAAACAGUUUGUGCAAGAUUAAAGGAUUGCAAGUGAAUUUUAUGAAAGAAGAACUACAAACUCUGGAUUUUUUACAUGUAAGCAUAAUGCCCGUCAACACAAGGGGUAAAAUACCAGCUCAUUGGACAUAUGACACGUUGGAGAAAUAAAAUAAUGUUGCACCAACUACAACUGCUGGCAGCUCCGCUCAGUGCCUUCUCAGUGAUCAUCCCCAAGAUCAUUGGAGACUGAGGGACUAAUUUUGAGACUGAACCUUUAUUUUGGGAUCUCUUUUAGGGAAGAGGAGACCUUUGUGGAAAAUUGUACUCAUGCAAUCCUGACCCCAAAAAGGCCAAGUUCUUUACAAACAAGCUAAGGGAAUAUAAGCUCCAGCUUUGCUGGCUUCUCCUCUUGGCAUCAAAGAGACACGUUUUUGACAGUUCAUAUGACAGGGUUUGUUGUUUAUGGUGAGAUGGAGAGUUCGCUCACGCAGUAUUACAAUCUUUGUAUGAAAUAAACCUGAAUGCUCUGCAUUGUGCAGUUCAGGUUUGGGUGAUUUGUUAUUAGGGUCAGGUUCUUGUCUUUAAGGCUCCAGUCUGUGCAUGUGUCACACACUGCAGUGUCCUUGUGUCACUAGUGUGGGCUUUAUGCAAACUUGAAAGCUCUCCAUAUUCCUCUCUAGAGCCAUACCAUGACACCCUAACAUACCUCUGAGUUGGACAGAUGUCGAUGCAUCUGUUGUGAUGAUCCAGUUUGUGGAGGUAACAGCUGUACCUCAUUCUUUGUCUACUCAUACAGUGCAGGUAUGCAAGUUGGUAAGUUAGAGCUUGGUGAAGGACUUGGGAUCAUUUCAUGGGAACCAGAAUUUCCAACCGCACUGUAUGAUAGUAUUACAGAUAAAUCUGGCAACUGUUAUUGUAACUUAAGCACUUGCUGAGAUUUGGCCAGUGUCUGGGUAAAGAUGUUGGCAUAUCUGUUACUUUUUCCAGGGCAGCUGGCACUGCUUUUGCUUUGGGAACAGAACUGGUAGCUCUGUGUUUGAUGCUGAUACCAUGCUGCCUUCAGAGGUAAGUGAAGAGAUUGGUAGUGUUGUCAGCGCAGUCUUCAACUCUGUAUACUCUGCAAACAGCUGCUGGUUUAUCAAGGAGGCCUUCCGUUCAUAGAAGCCAAAAUCUGUCCAAACUUAUGACUUGUAACCAGACAAAUUGAUAAUCUCAAGUUUCUCUAGCUCCUUCCUUAUUAGCUGUCAACUGAGUUCAAGUCCAUCUAAUCAAUCUCUGUGACCUACGUCUCUCAACAUCUACUUUGGGGUCAGUCUGCAACCCCAGUUCCAAAAACGUUGCAACAUUGGGUAAAAUGUUGAAAAGCUUUGAUGAAUUUAAAAUCAUCUAAAUUCUAUAAUUUACUCAAAAUCCUGCAAAGAUAAGUCAGUUUGUGAUACUGAAAAAUGUACUGUGUUAUGAAAAAUUUGGAUUUUAUUUCAAAUUAAUGGACAAAGGGGCCAGCGUGCUUAAAUUAAAAAGUUCUCAAAGUCACUUGGGGUCCAACUUGAGGCAAACACUCUAAAUGAAAAGAUGUCAGUACUGACAAUGAAGUUUAUGAUUUAAAAAAAUGAAGAUAAAGAUUGACCGAAGUUUUAAGAAAUAAACUGCAGUCUGUCUUUGUCUGUAUUUUUUAACGGUCUAUCAUAAAUCUUAAAGCUUAAAGGCUAAAACAUACAGGAUCCUUAUUGAGUGCGUAACGUCAGCAUUGUGUAUUUUGCAGCAAAUAGGUUGCCAUUAUAAUCAAUGCAGCAUCGCAUACAGGGUGCGUAUCAGCUCUGUAUCAGAAGUGCAUCGAGAGCAGCACUGCUAUAGACGGGUCUAUUUUUGCUGCUCUACGCUUCCAAUGCAUGUGAAUCUACACAGAGACGAUCGUUCAAGACAGGAAGUCAAGCACGAAAAACCACGCAUGACAUCAGGUAUUUUAAAAUAAAACACCCUAUGCGAGCUCCCGACUAUGUAUUAGUUCAUGUAGAUGAGAAAUACUUCCUGGUUGUGGAUUUAUCAGUAACACAGAACAAUCUGAUGGUCAAUCCCUGAUAAAUGUGGACCCCAACAGGACUUUUAACGGUUAACUCUGUCUGAAGGUAACAGCACAGUAUAAAGGAACAUAGUUUACUUUAUUAAACACAAGUAAACCUGCAAAAAUCCAAACUGUAAAAUCACAUUGCUUUUUCACAUAUAGUAGAAGCUCAACAGUCACUUAAUUAUAACUAAAUUAGCAGGAAAUAGAUCACAGAAAGGCAAAACAACCUGUUGUGAGCAUGUUGUUUCCUCUAUACUGAGCCAAGCUGACCGGGGCUGCACUACACUGUUGCCAAGCCCCAAAUAGGCAUCCUGUAUUUGAUACCCAGGGCUGCUCUAAGGAGCAAAUACAGAUCGUGCUCAAUAUGGAUCCUGUAUGUUUUCAGCUUUAAAGAAAAAGAAAACAGGCAUAAUUCAUCCCGGUUAGAACUUCAUUUUUGAGGAGCUGUAGUUGUCUUUGUAGUUUACAGGUUUGUAUUAUCUUCACUUUCAGAAAGUAAAAUUUUUAAAAAGGGAUGACAUGGUAAUAAAUGGCAUCGUAAUAUUUAAAGUCAACAACACAAACAGAUCUGUCUCUUUAUUUUUAUUACAUCAAAUAUCAUAAGAAAUGCUGAUAUUCAUACAUAUAGAACAAAUACAUUGUGGUCAUAAUUUUGGCUGUAUUGUCCAGCCCUACCUUGCUCCUACGUUUGACCUCAUGCUCUCCCACGCUCCUGCUGAUAGAUCCUGGUUGGACAGCUCUACUAUCAAAACCAGCAGCUAAUAUCCAUAUGUCUGUUUUUGUCUCCUUCCUCUCCCAUAAGGUGCUCCAACCAGACCUAAAUUUAUACUUCAAAGCAGUGAACUGUACUCUGUGGCCUGCACCCAGCUUCAAACAAACAUCACACACUGCAGAAGUGCGAUCAUGAUGCCGAGCCAAAAUGUCCAUAACCAGUAAAUCUGAGAGUAGGACCGCUGUGUGCAUUUUGGAACCUAACAGCCAGCAUGUCCCUGUGAGGAGGAGAGCACUGCUGCUGCUGCUGCUGGGUCAGCACUAACUCCAAUAGUCCGGGACAGUCAAGUCGAAGUCCCAGAGUCCUGAAGAGGACUUUUUUCUUUUUCUUUUUCUUUUAGGGCAUGGAGAUGCUCCAGAAGGGUGUCUUAACCCGGCAGAUUGUUUCCAAAUCUGUGUUUGAAAGGGACUCUGGCUGCUUGCUUAAUGUCAAUAUCAGCUUUUUUCCAAGAAUCCCUUUUGAACUUUACCCCAUGGGGCUCUGAGCUGGUUUUACCAGAGCCAGGAAGAGUUUUCAUAUUCAAAGGGAAAAAAAAUUAAAUUACUGCACAGAUGCUCAGAGAUGCAGUUAGAAAGUUUUCACAUGACGACACUGAUAUCCUCCUUUAUAAAGCAUUCAUGAGCUCACUGUUAAGCAGAGCUCCCACUUUACUAUUCCCAUUAAUCGCUACUUUACAAUUACAUGAGCUGUGAGCGUGUCCCAUUUUACUAUUUUCACUGACUGUGUGGAUUUUCCUCAGCUGCUGAUCACAGACCCUGCCAACCCACAGCUGAGUGACACACACAAGAUAGUUAUCUGGGCUGAGAUGCCACUCAUCACUCUCACAUCACAGCCCACACACACUGACAAGCCCCACCGUCCAGUUCCACGCAGCUCAACACUUACAAGGCCAAACCAAAACGGACAUCUUAUGACCACCGACACGGUUACCAAGGCAACAAAAAAAUAAGAGAUGUGCUGUUGAAAAAUUAAGGACACCUUCACAGGGUAUAAAGCAGACGCAGGAGGAGCUGUUAAAGGGUUUGUGUUAGCCUCCACUGCACUCAAAUUGUUAAAGAAAGCCCCUCCUCAAUCACUGAAUCACUCUUUAGUCAGUGUCAGUGUGUGUAAGCGUGCGCGUGUGUACUUGUACAUGUGCAAAUGUGUGUGUGUGAAAGUUUGAUAGUAGGCUUUAGGGCAGGGUUUUCACAGUGAUGACACAGAAAAAAU
rnacentral:lncRNA from 1 species